rnacentral:rRNA from 1 species
UACGUAUGGUGCAAGCGUUAUCCGGAUUUACUGGGUGUAAAGGGAGCGUAGACGGCAUAGCAAGCCAGAUGUGAAAUGUAUGGGCUUAACCCAUAGACUGCAUUUGGAACUGUUAAGCUAGAGUGUCGGAGAGGUAAGUGGAAUUCCUAGUGUAGCGGUGAAAUGCGUAGAUAUUAGGAGGAACACCGGUGGCGAAGGCGGCUUACUGGACGGCAACUGACGUUGAGGCUCGAAAGCGUGGGGAG